rnacentral:rRNA from 1 species
UACUCGAGUGUCGAACGGGUGAGUAACACGUGGGUGAUCUGCCCUGCACUUCGGGAUAAGCUUGGGAAACUGGGUCUAAUACCGGAUAGGAGCCAUCUUUAGUGUGGUGGUUGGAAAGUUUUUUCGGUGUAGGAUGAGCUCGCGGCCUAUCAGCUUGUUGGUGGGGUAACGGCCUACCAAGGCGGCGACGGGUAGCCGGCCUGAGAGGGUGUACGGCCACAUUGGGACUGAGAUACGGCCCAG